rnacentral:lncRNA from 1 species
UGUAUAAGUUAAUUUAAAAAAAAUUUAUAACCAAAUUAAUAUGAAUCGUUUGAUUAUUUAAAUUCAGCAUACCAGAUUGUGCCGUGUGGGCACAACAAUCACUUUGAAUAUUUAAAAUUUUUCGAACCCAAAAAUGGUUGAAUUAAUAAACACCGUUAGAUUAUAUGACCGUAGGAAACCCAUCAUGUGUAUUGCACGCGCCUGACGCAGAAAAGUUUUGCACAUGGCUGACUUCACAUGGAUGUCAGCCCUUACUUCAAAUCACACUCGGGGGAUGGGCCGGGCACAAAUUGGUUGACUGUUUCGUCAGGUAGGCUUGGGCCUACGUUUUUCCCGACUUUUUUCAAUGGCCCAGAUCUGCUUUUUCUUUUUUUUUUUGGUCAAAAGUGCCCAAUUGUAAGUGUUUCUUGUGGAUCAAACUAAGGUGGCUGGUUGUUGAGUGUAUUUUUGCUCUCUACUAUAAGUGUUAAUGACUAUUACCAUCACAUUAUUAGAGCAUCUUCAAUAAAAGUUCCUAUUUAGAAACUCUCGCCACCACUUUUAAGGACUCAUUUAGAAGCUUUAGAAGAAUAUUCGAGUCCCUAAAAGAAUAUUGUUUACAAUGGAAAUUCCUUAUAGUAUAAUCCUUAAAUGUAGGGACUAAAAUAUUUAAAAAAUUAUUAUUCAUUUCAUUGAAGUAUUGUAACCAUUGAUAAAAAUAAAAAACUAUCUCUACCAUUGAUUUUUCAAGAAUUAAAAAAAAAGGCAUAUGAGAAAUUGCCUCACUCACUUGGGUGGGUUCAAAAAACAAGGAAAAAAAAACAUAAAGAGUACACCAUUCCCACUCAAAAUUAAUAAGGAGUCCACUAUUUGAGUUCUUAUCCGUAGUCCUUAUAUUUGAGAAUUUUGUUGAGGUAUCCGGCGAGUCUCUCUGUAUUGAGAUAUUUUGAAGACUUCAAUUCUGGGCCAUUGAAAGUCAUUUGUCCCUAUAUUUAGAGACUAUAUGGUUGUAGGGACUCCAUUUAUAAUCUCUAUGAGAGAUGCUCUUAUGCAGUUGGACAAGUGUUAUUUAAUCUAUUUACUUUUUUUUU